UUCAGCCACCGCUGGGCCCUGGUGUCUGGAACCAGCCCAGCAGCCCCAGGAAGAAUCCUCCUUCUAGGGGCCCUAGGACAAGGAGAAACCAACCAACACAGAGCCCGCACCCUCCCACCUCCGUUCUGUGAACAGGCCCUCCUCCUCUGCUGUCUACCUGCUGGACUCACCCCAGGGCCAGGUACCAGGUGCCAGCUCCUGGGCCCCUGAGUCCUGGAAGUAACCACACCAGCCAAUCCUGAGCUGCCACCCUGCCUUGCUGGUUCCCUCCUGCAGAAACCACCAUAAAGGCAUCUGUCACCAUUGUCCCUCCUCCUGGGGCUUCUUCACUUGGCCCUGCACGGUGCGGCACGCCCCUUCCUCUUGGGAACCCUGAGGAACAAACUGUUUUCAAAGGCA